CCUACGGGGGGCUGCAGUGGGGAAUAUUGGACAAUGGGGGCAACCCUGAUCCAGCAAUGCCGCGUGGGUGAUGAAGGCCUUCGGGUUGUAAAGCCCUUUCGGCGGGGAAGAUGAUGACGGUACCCGCAGAAGAAGCCCCGGCUAACUUCGUGCCAGCAGCCGCGGUAAUACGAAGGGGGCUAGCGUUGUUCGGAAUUACUGGGCUUAAAGCGUGUGUAGGCGGGCCCGUCAGUACCUUGUGAAAUCCCACGGCUCAACCGUGGAACCGCUGGGUAUACUGCGGGUCUUGGGCCGACUAGGGGCAGCCGGAACAAGCGGUGGAGCGGUGAAAUGCGUAGAUAUCGCUUGGAACGCCGAAGGUGAAAACAGGCUGCUGGGGUCGCGCCGACGCUGAGACACGAAAGCCAGGGGAGCAAACAGGAUUAGAUACCCUAGUAGUC
rnacentral:rRNA from 1 species